rnacentral:rRNA from 1 species
UACGUAGGGUGCAAGCGUUAAUCGGAAUUACUGGGCGUAAAGCGUGCGCAGGCGGUUGUGCAAGACAGAUGUGAAAUCCCCGGGCUCAACCUGGGAACUGCAUUUGUGACUGCACGGCUGGAGUGCGGCAGAGGGGGGAUGGAAUUCCGCGUGUAGCAGUGAAAUGCGUAGAUAUGCGGAGGAACACCGAUGGCGAAGGCAAUCCCCUGGGCCUGCACUGACGUCAUGCACGAAAGCGUGGGGAGCAAACAGG